AACGGACGCUGGCGGCAGGCCUAACACAUGCGAGUCGAGCGAGGACUUCGGUCCUAGCGGCGGACGGGUGAGUAACGCGUGGGAACGUGCCCUUUGCUUCGGAAUAGCCCUGGGAAACUGGGAGUAAUACCGGAUGAGCCCUUUGGGGGAAAGAUUUAUCGGCGAAGGAUCGGCCCGCGUUGGAUUAGGUAGUUGGUGGGGUAAUGGCCUACCAAGCCGACGAUCCAUAGCUGGUUUGAGAGGAUGAUCAGCCACACUGGGACUGAGACACGGCCCAGACUCCUACGGGAGGCAGCAGUGGGGAAUCUUAGACAAUGGGGGAAACCCUGAUCUAGCCAUGCCGCGUGAGCGAUGAAGGCCUUAGGGUUGUAAAGCUCUUUCAGCUGGGAAGAUAAUGACGGUACCAGCAGAAGAAGCCCCGGCUAACUCCGUG
rnacentral:rRNA from 1 species